CAUUUGCUGGACAAAAAAUCUAACCAUAGACGUCUAUCGACAUAACCUACCGUUUGCCAUAAGACUUAGACUGAGGUGGUGCACUAAACAUUCUCAGCAUUGUGUUGCAUAUAAUUUAGCAAAGAUUAAGCUAUAAAGCAAGAAGAGGCUAAGCACUAAAAAUGAAAAUCUUACAACCACAACCAACUCUUGUAAACAUUUCUAUAGUGCAGUGGUGUCGAACAAUUCGCAACUCGCAGAAAGCAAGAUUAUCGAAAUGUUCAGUAAAGCUAUAACAGUUUCUCUUCUUCUGUUCAUUGUGUGUGCCAUAUCAGUUCAUGGAAAACUCUUUCGGCUAAAUCCAGCUAAUGAUAUCACGGGAAAGACUGGUCUUGCUGAAUCUCCUGAUAGAAAACGGGAAUUAAUGCAGCACGUUCCUCCAUGGCAGAUUCAUUUUGGCCUAGAUAAGCAACGUGGUUCUAUGAUCCAGGGUAGUUUUGGCCUAGAUAAGGAACGUGGUUCUACGACUCAGGGUCGUUUUGGCCUAGAUAAGAAACGUGGUUCUACGAUUCAGGGUCCUUUUGGUCGUUUUGGCCUAGAUAAGAAGCGUGGUUCUAUGCAGGGUCGUUUUGGCCUAGAUAAGAAACGUGGUUCUAUGCAGGGUCGUUUUGGCCUAGCCAAGAAACGUUUCCUGUGAUCCAGGGUCGUUUUGCGAUGAAGAGAGGUUCGGCGAGUAACUUUUAUUAAAAUAAGUUUUGAAAACAAUUUUAAUUUGAACAAUAAUUAAAGUAUUCAAGUUUUAGGGUUUUUACUAGGUAUUCGUAAUGUUUACAACACUCGCGGCCGUGUCACGUUGUAUAAUUGAAUAUUAUUGUAUAAUUGAAUAUCAUGAUUUCACAACAACGUGUAAAGAACGUCCAUUUAAAGAAUUGAUGAUUAUGUAAACAACGCCCGCUAUUCUAAAACAGCCUUGUAAUUUCAAUGCACAUUACCACGCACUCGACACUCUAAUUUUAAUAGUACUGCAGACGUCAAAAUCUCUGCAACCUUGUUAUGUCAUCUCUGUCAUUAGGCUGCCUCUUAAAAAAGGUCUGCUCGCCUUUACUUGUAACAGUGUUUGUUGAUAGUGUAAAAUACGCAAACAAAUGACCAAAG